UCCAAUAACAGGUUAGCAUUUAAACGUGUAGCGUAAGAAUUGGAAAAGAUUGUUUAUUCAGAUGGCGCGCUUUUAAUCACAUGGAAGGAAUAUUUUCAGUUGAACAUCCAAACUGUGGAGAAGAUGGAGUUGAUGAGCCUGUUACAUUGGAUUGCUAUAUAUUUAUUCGUAAAUAUUAAAUCAAGUGUUAUCUCAGAAUCACUAACAUGUUAACGUGAACCAGGUAUAAUGAGAAUCGGCGAACCAGUGACUUUGACAUGUACCGUCCUUGGUGUACAUACUAUUGACCAUAACCUGACACGCCAAUGGUCGAAGGGGACAGAAUCAAUUGUAUACAAUGGCCAUUUGGAUAAACCAUCAAAAUAUAAGGAAAUAUUAACCAGGCAUAACCAGUUUAAGCUGUUGAUCAGAAACCUCACAGAGUCAGAUUUGACAUCUAAUUAUCAAUGCCGGUAUAACUUCGACACUUUAUCGAAAAAGUUACAAAUAAAUGCAGAGAACUUCGAAUAUCCUUCCACUAUUGAAACAACAAAUCUUGUGUAUAACACUUCUAGCAGUGGAGACAUAUAUAUUCAUCUUCAUUUCGCCAAAGUUUUUCCAUUGCCAAAUUGUACUCUAGAAUUAGAAAAUGAAUAUUACCAAUGCAAAAACUCAUCUAUAGCUAAACAUAGCGUUUAUUACGAGGUCUUCUUGAACUGUGAAGUUAACAACUGUAACACCAAACCGCAGAUACGAUGUCAUUUGAUUAAAGAAUAUCUGAUACCAUGGACGACGUUUCAAGCUUGUAAAGAAAAGGAUCACAUGUUAAAGACCAUAUUGAUAGCAAGUAUAAUUCCAACGGGCUGCCUAUUUAUUGUUAUUGUUAUUGUUAUAGUGUUUUGCUAUAAACGAAAAACGAAGUCCUCAACAGCUGGAGAGAAAAUGCUUAGAACUGAGACAGGAGUACCUGAACAUUCAUAAUAGCCAUUAUGUCAGAUACGGUAUGCUCAGUUGUAAAUGAAGGUUAUAUUCGACUGUAAGAUGAAGGUUAGAAUUUGCUGUCUGGCCCAAAAUUUUUUUUGGAGUAACUCAUCAGAAUUUAGAUUAAAAGAAAGAUUUAACAUGGUGAAAAUGGCAGUCUGGGGAUGACUUGUAGAUACCAAUGGUAAUGUAGUGUGUUUAUAAAGGCCACUGUAAAAAUAAUUUGACACAAGAAUGAAAAAUACACAUUUAUCUUUUAUUCAUAUGCUGUUUGUACUUUUUUUAUUGCCACGUUUGUGUUCACUAAGCUUUUCUCGACACCUUUGUAUUUUUGUCUAGUCAUGGUACACAUCGCUUUGUUUUAAAAACAAAAUUCUGUAUGACGUUUUCCCUAAAAUUACCACAGACCUCGAAUGUUUCACUUUACAGAAACCAGAAAACUGGAGUUUCAAAUACUCUAACUCCAUGAACAUUUUCAUUCACCCGAAUAAUCUAGUCUUUUCAUUGAUACAGUUUUGUUUCUUUUCAUUAGAAAUAUUCUUUCCCUCUGUUAUAUAUAU